rnacentral:rRNA from 1 species
UGGGCAACCUGCCCCUCUCUCUGGGAUACCCCCGGGAAACCGGAGCUAAUACCGGAUACUCCGGCUGGAUCGCAUGGUCCGGCCGGGAAAGGUCCGCCGGAGAGGGAUGGGCCCGCGGCCUAUCAGCUUGUUGGUGGGGUCAUGGCUCACCAAGGCGACGACGGGUAGCUGGUCUGAGAGGAUGGCCAGCCACAUUGGGACUGAGACACGGCCCAGACUCCUACGGGAGGCA